rnacentral:rRNA from 1 species
AUUGAACGCUGGCGGCAGGCCUAACACAUGCAAGUCGAACGGUAACAGGAAGAAGCUUGCUUCUUUGCUGACGAGUGGCGGACGGGUGAGUAAUGUCUGGGAAACUGCCUGAUGGAGGGGGAUAACUACUGGAAACGGUAGCUAAUACCGCAUAACGUCGCAAGACCCAAAAGGGGGACCUUCGGGCCUCUUGCCAUCGGAUGCGCCCAGAUGGGAAUCGCUAGUAGGUGGGGUAACGGCUCACCUAGGCGACGAUCCCUAGCUGGUCUGAGAGGAUGAGCAGCCACACUGGAACUGAGACACGGUCCAGACUCCUACGAGAGGCAGCAGUGGGGAAUAUUGCACAAUGGGCGCGAGGCUGAUGCAGCCAUGGCGCGUGUAUGAAGAAGGCCUUCGGGUUGUAAAGUACUUUCAGCGGGGAGGAAGGGAGUAAAGUUAUUACCUUUCCUCAUUGACGUUACCCGCAGAAGAAGCACCGGCUAACUCCGUG